AAAUGUAAGAAAAAUUGGAGAGCUAAAGAGUGAGGCCGCUUUUAUUCUACAUUUGUCUUAUUGUCAGCAAAUCCCAUGGAAAGACCAAAACCAACAAAGAACUGAUCCUACUAACAAGUGUUGUCUGUGUAUCCACAGCCUGAUAUAUUGUAUUCCUCUGUGCUAUAGAGCAUUGUUGUUUUGAAUAAUUUUGUUGUCCAAAAACCUUUCAAAACACAUCAAUGAGCCUCACCGUUGCUCUGGGUGACAUGAACCUCAUUACCAUGAACAAACACACACACACACACACACACACACACACACACACACACACACACACUGUAGUUUGUAUUUUGAUUCAAUCACACAUAAACCGUCCUGCUGCUGUAUGUGCCAAAUGGACUUUACUCCUGUUUGAGUCAUAUUUGCUAGAAGCUACAGUGCCCAGUUGUGAGUCUUCUUUAAAAAUUAAACUAUAUUUGUAACCUGUUUUUUUCAAGAUUUAUGUCUUCCUGGAAGGAAUGGGCGAGGCACCACAGAGUAGAGAAGUUGGAAGACAUCUCUUUAUCAUUGAGAAGCUGCUGUGAAACUGUGGCUCCUGAAUAAUAUUUGCAACAGAACAUGAGCUCAGAGGGCGAAGACAGAGUUACAUGAUUCUGGAUGCUCGUCAACAUAAACUCUGACCGCAACUUGCAAGCUAUGUUAUUUGUGGUGGCAAGCUAUCCUUAAAGUGAUGGUCCAGCCAAAAACUGAAGACAUUUUGAGUUUGAGACAGGGAUACUGUAAGUUCUUAUCAAAACAUCGACAAACCAAAUCUCAAAGAAGAUCUGUAGCAUAAUUUGUUUCUCCACUGUCCAUCUGUAUUCUCAGCAUGAUCCACUAUCCACUUUUUAUUACACUACACUUAUAUUUUCACUAAAGUUGGCUACGUACACCACUUCUGUCUGUCCUCGCAGCAUGUCUCCUGCCCUCAUUGGUCAAGGGUGCUACUCUAUCCUAGCUCAGUCAUUUGGACACUUCUCUCUAGAAUUUGAAUUUGUCUAAAGUACACAGUUUCUUCAAGUGCAACUUUCAAGAGCACAUCAAAAUACUGACAUUAACAUUAUCACACAACUAAACCUGUUAUACUUCAUUUAAAUGGCUAAAAAUGACAAUUCUCUUUUCCGGAAACUGGCAGCAGAAAUGUUUACUUGUAUGUGUGUAUGUCUGCGUUUGUAUGUUGUGUGUAUGUUUUGUCACCUUGGCUGUUGGUGCCUCUGCUAGACGAAUGAAGAGUCUGUUGAUGCCAGGAACUGGGCUGAAGGAGUAGAUGAAGUGACUAUCCUGAACGUUUGAAGACAAAAAGGAAUAAAUUAGAAAACAUAAGUAUAUUGCCAUUUAAUAUAAUACAAUUAAUCAAAUAAAUUAAAUAACACUGAAGUACAUGCGUCCCAUGGGGGAACAAUGAAAGCUACGACAUUAAGUUUUUGUUAAGAACCAACCAAGAAGAUGGGCAGCUGGAACUUGUCAUUGAGCACCACGGCGUGAACGCUGCAGGGUCCACAGAGCCUGGCUGUGAUUUCACUCAGGAAGUUAGCAUGGAAGAUGAAGAGGAGGAUGCCUGAGCCUGGAACGGGAGGGAGGGACAGAGAUAAGAAGGAAGGAUCAAGAGCCAAACUCCAUGGAGAAGUCCGGUCCCUCACAAAGCCUGUGGCAGGCAAGAGGGAAGACAGGCUCCAGCAGCACCAGGCGAGACUCAAAGUAUGCUCGAAUGGUGUCAUCCGCCACACUGGACAGCCUGAGAAAUGGAGAGAUGGGCAGAGGAUGAGCCGAGAGGUACAGGAUGGAUAAAUGGACAACACCACAAAUUCACACCCAAAUGCAGGAAUUUGAUUUUUAAACCACUGCAGCCUUCACCCGUUCCCCAUUAUCAGUGUUGAGACUGUGGCUGGCACUCACAUGCUGAUGUGGUCCUUAAUGAGGUCGCACACCAUCAGGUUGUUGCUGAGCUUGGCGAAGUGCAUGGCCGUUGUCUUGUGU